rnacentral:rRNA from 1 species
GACGAACGCUGGCGGCGUGCUUAACACAUGCAAGUCGAACGGAAAGGCCCUGCUUCUGUGGGGUGCUCGAGUGGCGAACGGGUGAGUAACACGUGAGUAACCUGCCCUUGACUUUGGGAUAACUUCAGGAAACUGGGGCUAAUACCGGAUAGGAGCUCCUGCUGCAUGGUGGGGGUUGGAAAGUUUCGGCGGUUGGGGAUGGACUCGCGGCUUAUCAGCUUGUUGGUGAGGUAGUGGCUUACCAAGGCUUUGACGGGUAGCCGGCCUGAGAGGGUGACCGGCCACAUUGGGACUGAGAUACGGCCCAGACUCCUACGGGAGGCAGCAGUGGGAAAUAUUGCACAAUGGGCGGAAGCCUGAUGCAGCAGCGCCGCGUGCGGGAUGACGGCCUUCGGGUUGUAAACCGCUUUCGCCUGUGACGAAGCGUGAGUGACGGUAAUGGGUAAAGAAGCACCGGCUAACUACGUG